rnacentral:rRNA from 1 species
UACAGAGGGUGCGAGCGUUGUCCGGAAUUAUUGGGCGUAAAGAGCUCGUAGGCGGCCUGUUGCGUCCGCUGUGAAAGCCCGGGGCUUAACCCCGGGUCGGCAGUGGAUACGGGCAGGCGUAGAGGUAGGUAGGGGAGGAAGUGGAAUUCCCGGUGUGAGCGGUGAAAUGCGCAGAUAUCGGGAGGAACGACCGGUGGCGAAGGCG